rnacentral:lncRNA from 1 species
UGUCUGGCCCGUCAAUCAAGGUGCUGCCGAGACAGUGAAGAGAAACACUAGCCAAAGUGUUGCUUCUUAAGGAGACGACAGUCGAUCUGUGAGACAGACAUUAAUCAGAGUCACACAAAAUCAGAAUUACAUAUAUGAUGAAUGCUAUAACGAAUAGGGACGUGGUGCAAUGCAAGCACAUUAUGGAGAAAUUUUCCCUUGAGGAAGUGAAGAUGACAUGGAGGUCUAGUGGGGAGAAGAGAGUGAGACAACCAGGAGUUGAGUUUUGCACAUGUAAACGACAGAACAAUAUUGUUUGUCAUCGAGAAGGCAAAUGGAUAUACAAGUCUGGAGUUCAGUAAAAAUGGUCUGGCCUAGAGAUAUAAAUUGGGGAAUGAUCAGAAUUUAAAAGUAAUUAAAGCAUUAGACUUCCUGAGACCUCCAGAGAAAUGAGUGUAAGAAGGAAGAGAGGCUAUCCCAGAUCAGAAGCCUGCAGCAGUUCAAUAUUUCCAUGUCACUGAGAUGAAGCAGAACCAGCAAGACAGACUAAGGAGAGACUGCGAUGUCAAGUGAAAGCAGGAGAGAGGAAUCUACUAGCAACUGAGAGAAGCCAGUUUUUCAAGAAGAAUGAGUGAUCAAGUAGGUCCAACACAGCUGAUAAGUCCAAUGAGGGGGGAUUCAGUGACCUUUAUAUUUCACAACGUGACAAUCAUUGAUGAUUUUCACCAUUUCAAUGGAAUGGUAGGGUCAAAGUCCUGAGUGAAUUGAACCCAAGAGUGAAUGAAAGGAGAUGAACUGGUGUUGUGAAUGUAGGAAAUACUUUUGAGUAAUUUGGCUGUAAAAGGAAGAAGAAAAACAGAGAAGUGGCCUGAGGAAAAUACAGGAGGGGAAGAAAAGAUAUUUCUUCUAAAGACGGGAGAAAUAAUAGCAUUUUUUUUAUGCUGAGAGGAAUAAUCCAAUAGAUUGCUUAUCACUGACGAUGUGAGACAGAGAAGGAAGAGAUGCUGGAGAAAUGUCUUUGACUGGGUAAGAGGGGAUGGGAUGAAUCAAGUAGAGGAGGAAAAUGAGCGACCUUUGAUUGGAGCACAGAGGAGUAAUCCACAGCAACAGAAGGGAAGGAAAAGGAAAUAGGCACAAAUGCACUAAGUGGGUAGAUGGAAUGGUAGAGCUUGUGGAAAUUAUCUUCUGAUUGCUAUUUUCUCAGUAAAAUAGGAUGCAGAAUCAACAAAUGAGAGUGAAGCCUUUAGGAUAGAAGAGAAUGCAUGAAGCAGUCGUCCGUGAGCGAGAAAAUGGAGGCAUUAAAGAAAUGUAGCCUGAUGGCCUGGCAGGCCUGAGGGACUGCUUGAAGUUCUUAGACGUGAAUUUAAGACGAGAUGAUUAGGGGCUUUUUCAAGCCUGUCAAGGAGCCAGUGCAGAGUUGGAUGGUAAAGAGUUGGUUUUACCAGAAAAGUAUACAGAAGGGAGAAAGAAGCAAGAGGAGCUGAUGAAAGGUGAGAAGUGAGAGUAUGAGGGAGUAAGAGAUGGUGAAAAAUGGGCAUUAUAGGUCCUAGAAGUUCUGUUGAAGUAAGAAUAUUAGAGAAAGAGAAGUAAGAUAGGCAGCAAUAGUUGGAGAAGAGUAUGCUUGAAAUGACGAUUAUGGAAGGGUUAAAAGUAUUAGUAUGACCUUGUCAUGGUCUCAGGUAUGACUAUGAGAGUCAGUUCUUGAAGUUGAAAGGUGGACAAGGAACUGAGAGGCGAGGAAUUGAAGGAUGAUCUAUGUGGUAUUGAAAUCACGAGAAAUUAUGAUGGAAGCAGUGCUAGAGAGAACACAGGAGAGAGCUAAAACUUCUCACAUCAAAGAGCAUCAAAGAAAGGUGAGUGUGAACAGGGUUCUGUGGAUGAUUGCAACAUGAAGGGCAGUGGAUAGUCCUGCCCAACACCUUGGGAUUAAAGAUGUGAUGUUAGGGUGGAUGAGGAGGAACAAUGGCUUGGAAGUUAAAGUGAGGAGACGGAGAACAUCCAUCCCACCUACCAAGCCCCAUGGUGCAAGCAAGUGAUAAAGAAAAGAGCUUCCCCCUGAGAGGGUUACAGAGGAAUCGCUGUCCCCCGGAAUCACGGUCCUUGCUGUCAAGCGCUAGCUCCAUUGUGUAUCUCAAGCUGAACUGAGAACUGAUAAUCAACUGAGCUAAUAAGGCACCCUCUUCUCAAUUUUGAAAAAGUAAAAAGAAAUUGCAACAGAAUGGCAGUUGAAAAGCACUCUAAAAUUGUGAGUGUCCUGAUAAGCCACAAUAUAUCACAGAUAGAAAACAUAAUGAUA